rnacentral:rRNA from 1 species
AUUGAACGCUGGCGGCAUGCUUUACACAUGCAGGUCGAACGGUAACAGGUUAAGCUGACGAGUGGCGAACGGGUGAGUAAUGCAUCGGAACGUGCCCGAUCGUGGGGGAUAACGCAGCGAAAGCUGCGCUAAUACCGCAUACGAUCUGAGGAUGAAAGCGGGGGACCGUAAGGCCUCGCGCGAUCGGAGCGGCCGAUGUCAGAUUAGGUAGUUGGUGGGGUAAAGGCCCACCAAGCCGACGAUCUGUAGCUGGUCUGAGAGGACGACCAGCCACACUGGAACUGAGACACGGUCCAGACUCCUACGGGAGGCAGCAGUGGGGAAUUUUGGACAAUGGACGCAAGUCUGAUCCAGCAAUGCCGCGUGCAGGACGAAGGCCUUCGGGUUGUAAACUGCUUUUGUACGGAACGAAACGGUGAGCUCUAAUACAGUUUGCUAAUGACGGUACCGUAAGAAUAAGCACCGGCUAACUACGUGCCAGCCGCCGCAGUAA